rnacentral:rRNA from 1 species
UACAGAGGGUGCAAGCGUUGCUCGGAAUCAUUGGGCGUAAAGGGUAGGUAGGUGGUCUCGUUUGUCUGGGGUGAAAGCCCAGGGCUUAACCCUGGAAGUGCCCCAGAAACGGCGAGACUAGAGUAUUGGAGAGGGUCGUGGAAUUCCCGGUGUAGCGGUGAAAUGCGUAGAGAUCGGGAGGAACACCAGGGCGAAGGCGGCUAUCUGGACGGUUACUGACGCUAAGACUCGAAAGCGUGGGGAGCAAACAGG